GGUGCGGCCCCGCACUGAACCCCACCGCCGGCCUCCGCAGCUACCAGCUUCCGAAAGAGGAAGAGCCGAGAGGUGAGACAGCUCUGCCCAAGGGCACACAGUGAGUCACCGUCUCCGGCCCCAGGUGUCCUUUGCACCUCACAGCACUGGACUUCCCAGCACAGAGGUGGGGCUCCCCACAGCAGCCCCAAGGGAGCUCAGGUGCAUCUCGCCAGAACCCCGCCUAGGGUACAGAGCAGACAGAAGAGGACCACAAGUGGAACCAUGGGGACAGCACCCCAUAAAGACAGAAUGAGCCAGGCCUUGAGCUGUGAGUCUGUAAUACCACCUACGUGGAGGCUGAGGCAGGAGGAUCCCGUGUUCAAGACCAGCAUGAGUAACUCACAGAGAGUCUGUCCCAAAAUAAAAAAAUCUGGGGGAAUAUAGCUCAAUGUCUCCUGGGUUCAAUCUCCAGCAUUGCCCCAAAAAAAAGUCUUUGUAAAUAAAACAAUAAAGAUACACCUUGCCAAAA